rnacentral:rRNA from 1 species
AGACAGGUUAGUUUUCCCCUACUGUCGGUUGCGGUCACGCAACGGAAAUCCGAUUUAGUACGAGAGGAACCGUCGGUUCGCAUCUCUGGCAAAGGCGUUGCCUGAACAGGCAGUGCGCCGAACCUACGUGCGUUGAUGUAUUGUUGAACGCCUCUAAACAAGAACUCAUUCCGGAAACGUGGCUAUUUACGUGGCGGCUCGCAGGCACAAGCGAACAAAUAGCGCCGCACCAACGCGGCGCUACGUCCAUACCAUGGCGGCGGCCCGCGCGCGCCACACGCGCAGCGCCGGGCUCGCCGCUCGUACAUAAUUGCUCCGCACCGCCUCGAAAAUCUCCUACAUACCAUUUGAACAAAACCGGGUGAUGUACGUGUCUGAGCCACCUCGCGUGGCGAAGCAUUGAGUCUUAGCCCGUGUUUUCGAGAUU